rnacentral:rRNA from 1 species
GAUGAACGCUAGCGGCAGGCCUAACACAUGCAAGUCGAGGGGUAGAGGAAGCUUGCUUCCUUGAGACCGGCGCACGGAUGCGUAACGCGUAUGCAAUCUACCUUUUACAGAGGGAUAGCCCAGAGAAAUUUGGAUUAAUACCUCAUAGUAUUUUCGAAUGGCAUCAUUUGAUUAUUAAAGUUCCAACGGUAAAAGAUGAGCAUGCGUCCUAUUAGCUAGAUGGUAAGGUAACGGCUUACCAUGGCAACGAUAGGUAGGGGUCCUGAGAGGGAGAUCCCCCGCACUGGGACUGAGACACGGACCAGACUCCUACGGGAGGCAGCAGUGAGGAAUAUUGGACAAUGGGCGCAAGCCUGAUCCAGCCAUGCCGCGUGCAGGAAGACGCAUCUAUGGUGUGUAAACUGCUUUUGUACGGGAAGAAACACUCCCUCGUGAGGGAGCUUGACGGUACCGUAAGAAUAAGGAUCGGCUAACUCCGUGCCAGCCGCCGCCGUAAAAC